GGCCCGAGCGCUUGGAACGGUGACGAGAGUAUCCACACACAGACGACGCGCGCAAACAAACACGAAUGUUGCCCAGAAUUUUUGUAUGGGCAAAUUCGCUCCAUCGAAGCUGAUAACAGGCCGCCAGUGAGUCACAUUAUGUACAAAAUACAUUCUCAUUUGAAGAGUGCAGCAGACAAGCGUCAACUAUGUAUUUGUACGAGUACAUACGGCAUCCAAACAUAUAUACGAUUACGUGUAGAUCUAUGACGAUCAAUUGCUUAACUUAACAAAAUUGUAAAUUAUGACAGAAACGUAUUAAAUAUACAAUAAAAACAUA